CCACUCUCCCUCUCUCUAUCUUCUUUGCUCUUAGUACUGUUUCAGCCUUCCACAUUGUCCUUUGCACCAAUAAAGGAUGACCACGCAUUCUGCCGCGGGAGGAAGGUUUCGCCGCUCGUCCUCGCUCUCACCACGGCCCAUUCCCGUGCUUCAUAGCCCCCUCUCGCUUUGACGCUCGACGAAUCGAGGUCCUUCUCUUUCACCGUCUCCCGCCGUGGUCGCUCAUGUCUUCUGUUGAAACUUUUCCUUCUUCACUUGGAUCGAGACACUUGGACGGAGAAUGUGCUCGUUUCGGUAACUUCUGAUCUUUCUCCGGGGCUACACUUCUGUUUCGGCCAUGUGUUUCUUCUUCACUUUCAGCAGUUACUUGUCGAGUGUGGCGUGGACUGGAGUCCCACUUUCGACCUUCUGCUUCGAGACUCGUGUUUCCUCAUUUUGUUAUGUUAAGAGUGAGGAAGGAAUGAUCCUCUGCCAUUACAUUAGUAGCUGUGAACAUUUUUGAUAGCUCUUGUUUCGGUGUCGGGUUUCCAUUGCCAUUUCCAUGCGAUGAUUCUGUAUUGGCUUUGAGUAACGGUUGAUAACUUAAGCAGGAAAAGCUUUGAUGGUCAAGGCAUAGUUGUGUUUGCUUGACGGGGACGAUGCGCACGAUGACGAUUCUGUUCUUGGCGUGGAGUGUUCUACGACAACGUUAGCCUCCUCUCCGUCAUGUCUUUAUAUUCUGAUAAGUCUACUAUGGUUAUGGUUUCGUUGCAGAAAGAAUCUGUCUCUAGGAGGCGAAGUUUCUUCCUCGUGAUUAUUCUUGCAUGAAACCUCUUUCUUCCUCAUGAUUAUUCUUCCUAUUGUCAUCUCAUGUGUCAUGCUCAUUAAUGGAAUUGCCUUUUGAAUUGCAAGGAUCCGUCUGAUAAUUUGCUCUAUGGAGACAUUCCAUACUCCAUCUCUAAGCAUUAGCAACUCGAGUUUCUAAAUUUGAACAACAAUCAGUUGACUGGUCCCAUUCCCUCUACCCUCACACAAAUUCCUAACCUAAAAACACUGUCAAGUUCGAUUUGUACUGCAUUUGUAUAAUGCGCGGGCUAUAUCUUUUGCAACUGGUCUCUCUAGUUCAUCAGUAUAUAUUUUGAUUCUGUACCUCAGAGACCUUGCUCGGAACCAACUUACAGGGCAGAUGCCAAGGCUAAAGCAAUAUCUGAAGUCACAUGGAAAGUUUUUAAGUAGGACACGGUCCUGAUAUGUGUCAACUGACUGGUCUUUGGUAUUUUGAUGCAUGGGGCAACAACUUAACUGACACCAUUCCAGAUAACAUCGAUAACUGUACUAGUUUUGAGAUCUUGGAUAUUUCAUAAAAUCAGAUGACUGGGGAGAUCCCGUACAAUGUUGGCUUUCUGCAAGUCUCCACCCUGAGUGAUAGAAUGUUCCAACAAACUUCAUCUUUUCUAUUGGUGGGGUUAUUAAUUCCAUGUCCUUCUAGCAGAGAUCUGAGUGAAAAUGAGUUAGUUGGACCAAUUCCCCCAAUUCUUGGAAACCUGUCCUAUACUGGAAAUUUGUAUCUCCAUGGGAACAAGCUUACUGGAACAGUUCCUCCAGAACUUGGAAAUAUGUCAAAACUCAGUUACUCAUGGAUUGAAGGAGAGGUUUUCUGAUGACAUAUCGAUAUGUAAAGCUGGAGAUGAGUUUCAUAUGCGAAAAUGUGUCAAAAGGAAGCAAUUAUUGCAGUUUGAUAAGAGUUAUAGGCUUGCAUUUUACGGUAUAUGACCUGCAAAAAGGCGGGUCGAUAUCGAUUUGUUCUGGACCAGCACAUCAAAUUGUCAUAAGAUGAUCCAGAGGAAUAAUGGAUGUGACAGUUUCCAAGGCAGUCUAUCUACCAAAGUUGUGUAAAUGGGACCAGCAGUUAAAAAACUACAAAUCCGACUUGUCCGUCCUCAAAUGGGUGUGAAUAGAAUAUUAUGAAGAGAGAGUAUGGAAGUCUUACUAUCAAAAAAGAAUUAGAGGUUAUUUUGACAAGAAGAGUGCCCACCAGGAGACUCCUCGUCCUAUCUUGUCCCUAUGUUUGUAUGAUACCAUUACCGUUUCUCUUUAAUAUCAUAUGAUGGAGAAUAAUAUUUACUCAUUCAA